UUAUAAGAUUUAUGGAGUGAAUUAUAUUCGACACCAAGUCGGAGUGGAUGGCUCUCAAUAAUGGUCCUAGUGAAUUCAAAAGUUAAAGUGUGGUGCACAAUGAUUUCGAGCCUAUGAGUAAAGUUGAGAAUCAAGCUUUGUUGCAGCUUAUGAGAAGGUGGCCAGAAUGUUCUAUGAUAUUUUGACUUGUAGUGUAGCAUUUGGGUGAUAUGAAAUAUUCAUGGGAAUUGACGGCCCGGUCUCGUGAUUCAAGGUCACUCGAGGUGAGUAUAGAUGGAGUAUGUUAUAUAUUGAGUGGAGUCAGUCUUAGUUCUAAGGCAAGCAAGGAUGAUUUGGAAGAAGGUAAAUUGAUUAGACAUAGUUGAAUUGGCAUAUUGGGG
rnacentral:lncRNA from 1 species